rnacentral:rRNA from 1 species
GACGAACGCUGGCGGCGUGCCUAAUACAUGCAAGUCGAACGCUUCUUUCCUCCCGAGUGCUUGCACUCCAUUGGAAAGAGGAGUGGCGGACGGGUGAGUAACACGUGGGUAACCUACCCAUCAGAGGGGGAUAACACUUGGAAACAGGUGCUAAUACCGCAUAACAGUUUAUGCCGCAUGGCAUAAGAGUGAAAGGCGCUUUCGGGUGUCGCUGAUGGAUGGACCCGCGGUGCAUUAGCUAGUUGGUGAGGUAACGGCUCACCAAGGCCACGAUGCAUAGCCGACCUGAGAGGGUGAUCGGCCACACUGGGACUGAGACACGGCCCAGACUCCUACGGGAGGCAGCAGUAGGGAAUCUUCGGCAAAGGACGAAAGUCUGACCGUGCAACGCCGCGUGAGUGAAGAAGGUUUUCGGAUCGUAAAACUCUGUUGUUAGAGAAGAACAAGGACGUUAGUAACUGAACGUCCCCUGACGGUAUCUAACCAGAAAGCCACGGCUAACUACGUG